UUAAACAAUUUUUGAUCUUCCCAAUUGCUUUAUCUCUCUCAUCCAUCGCUUCACCAUAAAAGACCAAUCACCGGUGGCCGGAAAACAUGAGCAGCUCGUGACUUGGGGAUCCGAGCAUGAACAUCGAAGAUUACCUUCCUUCUGGUUCCUCCAUCAAUGAGCCUCCGUGGCCUGUACAUGUACAUGUCUCCUUCGUGAUUUACAAUGAUUCUUGAAUUGGUUGUAUCCCCCAACCCUCACUGUAGAAGGCACCAUUGCAUACAUGAAUUUUGGAUUCUUGAUGAUAAUAAGAUCUCAAGGGCUUAGCUGAUCUGGCACAGGCGGGUAGAAAAUGUUAUAGACUUCUCUACCUUAGGGGGAGUUGUUGUUGUUACUUGUUAGAUACUACUGUCUUCUCUUUCCCUUGAGCUCAUUUGCAGAAAGGCCAAGAUUAUUAAUUACUAGGUUUCGGCAAGAUAGAGGGAGCUCAACCUCAUGGACCUGAGUUUUCAAAUAUCACAUGCAACGUCCUAAGCAGUUCUCAACUCUCUGUAUCUCCCAUGUUACUUACUUGUAUACCUAUGCUUAUUUUAUGAAUUGGGGGUUUAAACAUGUCUUUGUAAUGUUUCCCACCGCACUUCAGUGAUUGAUUUCAUCGUCUUGGAGCAGAUGACCGCAUUUGCUGUUAUAAUCCAGAAACAUCCUUGCUGGGUUGCUAAGUCUCAGGGUGAUCGCAGAAGUUCUCCUCUGGAGGGUAUUGCAGAGUAUGCUUUUUGAGUAUGCCUACCUCCUCAACAACAGGAAGGAAUCUUUACAAGCGGUGCAUAAGGCUGAAAUCAUGAAACUUGCAGGUUGUUGCAAUUCGGCGUCAUGGUAACACCCAAUCUCUAUGGGAAUUUAGUUGCAAACACUGCUGCUGGUAUUGCUGGAGGGACAGGAGUCAUGCCUGGAGGAAAUGUUGGGGCAGACCAUGCAGUUUUUUGAGCAAGGUGCAUCAGCAGGAAAUGUUGGGAAAGACAAAGCAAACCCAGUGGCAUUGCUUCUCUCAUCAGCGAUGAUGCUUAGACACCUUCAGUUUCCUUCAUUUGCUGACCAGCUUGAAGCAGCAGUGAAAUAUGCAAACUUUUCUGGAUUCUUCAUAAUUCCAAAAAGAUGAAUGGAAAUUGAUGGGUGUAUAUCUCUUAUUGCGCUAAACAGAUGUAAAAGUUGUAUUUAUGGAUCAAGACAACUAAACCCAACUGAUCAAACUGUUCAGCAAACGAACAAGCUGCAAAAGUGAGUCUUAAAGUCCAUGAGGGAUGAUGAAUUAGUUCUGUCUGUUGAAAAAAUGAAACACCACGAUCUUUACAUUCA